AUUGAACGCUGGCGGCAUGCUUUACACAUGCAAGUCGAACGGCAGCGCGGGGGCAACCCUGGCGGCGAGUGGCGAACGGGUGAGUAAUGUAUCGGAACGUAUCCUGUAAUGGGGGAUAACCAGUCGAAAGAUUGGGUAAUACCGCAUACGCACGAGAGUGGAAAGUAGGGGAUCGCAAGACCUUACGUUAUAGGAGCGGCCGAUAUCUGAUUAGCUAGUUGGUGGGGUAAAGGCCUACCAAGGCGACGAUCAGUAGCUGGUCUGAGAGGAUGAUCCGCCACACUGGAACUGAGACACGGUCCAGACUCCUACGGGAGGCAGCAGUGGGGAAUUUUGGACAAUGGGGGCAACCCUGAUCCAGCCAUGCCGCGUGAGUGAAGAAGGCCUUCGGGUUGUAAAGCUCUUUCGGCCGGGAAGAAAUCGUAUGGGUUAAUACCCUGUGCGGAUGACGGUACCGGCAUAAGAAGCACCGGCUAACUACGUG
rnacentral:rRNA from 1 species